rnacentral:rRNA from 1 species
CCUACGGGAGGCAGCAGUGGGGAAUAUUGCACAAUGGGGGAAACCCUGAUGCAGCAACGCCGCGUGAGGGAAGCAGUAUUUCGGUAUGUAAAGCUCUGUCAUCAGGGAAGAGUAAAGAAGGUACCUGACAACGACGCCCCGGCUAACUACGUGCCAGCAGCCGCGGUACUACGUAGGGGGCAAGCGUUAUCCGGAUUUACUGGGGGUAAAGGGAGCGUAGACGGGAAGGCAAGUCAGAAGUGGAAGCCCAAGGCUCAACCGUGGGAAUGCUUUUGAAACUGUCAUACUAGAGUACGGGAGGGGUAAGAGGAAUUCCUAGUGUAGCGGUGAAAUGCGUAGAUAUCAGGAGGAACACCAGUGGCGAAGGCGUCUUACUGGACCGUAACUGACGUUGAGGCUCGAAAGCGUGGGGAGCAAACAGGAUUAGAUACCCGGGUAGUC